UUUUUAAUAUAAUUAUUAAUAAUCGACCUACUGAGCCGUUGAAAUUAUCGGUUAAUUUGGAUGAAUUAUUAAAGCGCAUUUUUUAACAUUUUCCAUGACUUUCGGGCUGUUACAUGUAAACAGAAAUUAAUUUAUUUACCAAUUUACGACGGAAAUACUUUCACAAUUCUAGCAAUAAAACAAGAAAUUGUUCGGCUUAACUAAUCAAAAUUAUUGCAAAAUUAAUGUAAAUUAUUCAUUGUUUGGAAUAUUAUUUUUUUUAUAAGAAGUUCAAUUAUCUGGGAGUAUAUUUUGUAACAUUCAUAUAUACGAAAGUAACUUCACACGAUUGCACAAGUAUGCAUUCGUCACUUUAUUUGUUUGAAACAAUUCUGGAUUAUUUACGAGUACGAUAUUACAAAGUCAAAAGAAAAAUAGAGAAGUAUUAUAUAUCUAUCUGCAACAACAAAAUCUAUUGGUAUUCGGAUAUUCAUGGGAUUAAAUGAAAUUGAUCAAACAAGAAACAGAAAAUUGUUGAAAAGAAUCAGCGAUGACAAAUGAAAAGUGAAGAAAUUUAUUUACAGAAUAUUUUAUGAAAUUAUAGACAAUAUAAUGAGAAUUUUACGUUAGUAACUGAACUUUAUCAUUUACCAACAUUUUUGCAUGUAUGCAUAAUUUAUCCAUUUGUAUGCAUUUCAAAGCGUUUACGUAUGUCAAAUUGAGAAAGUAUUUUUCUUUCGUCAAGAAUGAUAUUUAUUGUUUAUAAAUAAUAAAAAAUAAACGUAGUACGAGAUCGGAUCUACUUUCUAUACGUUUACAUGGAGUUUGCGCACCUCCGAUGUAGAAAAAUGAGGUUAUAAUUAUCUAUUAACUGAUCAAUAAAAGUUGGCGAAUAAUACUGAUUGUUUUUAUACAUUUUUUCUAUCAUUCUUUAAAAUAUGUAGAUAUAAAUGCUGCAAACACAAUUGUGUUGAUUUUAAGCUCUUAAUGCUAAUUGCAAAACAAAUGUAUUUCAUAUACUUAAAUAAUAUUAUAGAAUGCAAAGUAUUAUUUCGUUUUCUCGUCAAAAUAUAUGUAUGUAAUCAUUGUACGGCCUUCUUAAUGAUUUUAAAAAUUGUUUUAAUCCACUCGGUGUCGUAGUUUCUCGUACAAAUUUUACCAGUGGUGGAGUAGGAAACGGUGGUAAUGGUACCAUAGAAGGAAAUGGUGGUGGAAACAGUGGUACACCACCAGCUGCUAAAUUUUGGAAUGACGUGGUAGGAGUGUUUGUAGUAGUACUUUGACCUUGUUGUUGUUGCGUUGCUGGUGGAACUUGUUGUUGCGGUGCAGCUCCUGGAGCUUGUAGCCCAGCCCAGAAUGCUGGUCUUAAAAUGUUUAAACGGCAAGUGGGACAUGUUUGCUGACGUUGAAACCAAGAACGAAGACAUGCAGUAUGAAAAAUAUGAUUACAUGGUAACUUCUUACUUGCCGAAACCAUUUCUUCCCUUCAAUAUUAAUAUAUAUGUAUAUAUAAUAUGUAAUGGUGUCUAUGCCAUACUUAUCAAAUUUUAUUUUAGAAAAUGGAAUAUUUUUGUAAUUACCUGCAUAUUAUGCAUACAUUGUCAGCAGCAGCUAAUUCUUCUGCUGUUGCAUCUGGAUAUAGUGUAUUCAUGUUUCUGAUAGCUCUACGAGACAUUACAAUGUCAUGGAAAGCUUUUUUGAAAUCUCGCAUUGUAUAAUACAUUGGUCGAAGUGCGAACAACGGUAAAGUAUAUAAUUUUAUCAUCAAUGUAACAAAAGCAACAUAUAAAAUGACCUUAAACGAAAUAUAUUAUUGUUAAACAUUAAGUAUACAGUUCAGAUACGAUUAAAAAGAGAAAUAAUCUCUCACCUUCAAUAACCCAAUUAUCAAUUCAGUAUAUAAUAGAAAUACUGGUUUGUUAUCCCAUGGAUUUUCACUUUGUAGAUCUAUUGUAUGCAAUAUAUACUUUAUUUCUAUAUUGAACACGACAGUUAAGAGGAUCGCAUAUUCAAAACCGAAUACUAAUUGCACGGAAGGACCUUUUGUAGUUGUUGUAUUAUAUGCAUAACGAAUCAUAGUUAAAUUUAUAGCAAAUAGAAGAGCUAAUAAUGUACCAACUCUAAGGUGAAACAACCAUGUUAUCACCGGACUUCUUUCCAUCUGAAAAAUUAAUAAAAUAAAACAUUAAAGGUAUUUGAAUAAUAUAAAUUAUAUAAAUGUUAUAUUACGUACGUAGUCCACACGAUCUUCUGCCAACCAAUGAAAUGAUUUUAAAAAUAAAAGAAGCGUAAAUAAUGCUAUAAAUUUGGGACUGAAGUCAUCUCUAAAUACGGUAAAUGCUAGACAAGUUUCAGUUACUGCAUACCAUACUCUUUCUAGUAGAUGCUGC